UUGGCAGAGCAGCUGCAGCUGGGGCCACACCCCAACCAGACCCAGCUGGCCCUAUAAAGGUCAGGGAAGCCAGGAGCUGAAAGAACUCUUUCUAGCUUGUGGAGGGAGAGGGGCCUGGUUGCUGGAAAGCUGAGUGUAUAUCUGAAGUGGAGCAGGGCUGGGGGAAGGCCAGAGGAGCUGGGGGCGUUCUGGCCUGGAAACCCCUCAGGCUGCAGGCCUAGAGUAAGGCCCAAUAGGUCCUGGAGUUGCAGGGGGCAGCCAAAGGAAGAGUUGGCAAACUGGUCUUGCCAGUUGAAGAUGUGCAACCACCUGCCUUGAUUCAUAUGUAAAUUGAGCAUGGUAAAGCCAACACAAAGGAAAUCUUAUUUAUAUGUGAAAGUCAACAAGAAAAGCAGGUUGACUGGUGGUGGGGAGAAACAAACAGGAGUAUGGGAAGACACCUUGGAGCCUGCAGACCAGGAAGAAAACCACAAGAAGUCAACCUGACUCUGGACAAAAACAAUGGACUUUGAGGUAUUGAAGGAAAGCACAAUGAUCCCUCUUUUUGUCGUGCAUUUGAGAGGGUAACCAGACAGUGCUGUUAUGCCCAUGAAAACAGGAUCUCCACCAACCUUGGUUGAAAUGCCGCAAGAAAGAGCGUGGGUGAGAAAUUGCUUUGGACAAGAUCAGCCUGUUAAAGUUUUUUAGUGUGUUGUACUUUUGUUUUUUAACCUGUUGUUACCUUUGCUCACUAUCUCAAGUCAUUACCUUUGUUAAUAAACAUAUUUGUUUGCACUAUAAA